GACACUUGUCAAAAUCUGGCCAGCCCAUUUAAAUGAGAAGAAAAAACGUGUUCAGCAGCUCCCGUUUUUGGCAAAAUGAAAACAGCACUCACUUGUUAAUUUUGGAGGACCCGGCCCACUAAAACAGUAGAUUAAUUCCAGCCCAGUUUGCCCAUCAUUGUGCCACUUUCUCCACAUUCUCCACCUUGGUACAAUGAUUCCAAUAUCAUUUAUAGUGAUUCCUCCGAACAUGACAUCAUGUGCUCUUAUUCCCUGAUACACAAAUCAGCAAAAGUUAAGAUUCAACUGUUUUAAACAGUUCAAAAACUUGUUUAAAGGCAGCACUUUAGUUCCAACAUCAGCAGGAUUAAAAUGGGUAGAAAUCUUUUCAAGUUUAACAACACCUUGAGAAAUUACAUCUCUAAUAAAAUGAAAUUUCACAUCAACAUGUUUAGAUCUAUUGUGUAACACAUGAUUUCUACUCAAAUAUAUAGCAGAUUGGCUAUCAGAAUGUAAGACAACAUCAUUUAUGAAACCAAAUUCAUUUAGAAGUCCUUUUAGCCAAAUUCCCUCUUUAAUUGCAUCAAUAGCAGCUAUAUAUUCUGCUUCAGUUGAAGAUAAUGCAAUAAUCUUUUGUAAUUGUGAUUUCCAACUUAUACAGGAAUUACAUAAAGUGUAUACAUAGGCAGAAGUCGAUUUUCUGUUAUCCCUAUCACCUGCAUAAUCAGAAUCAGUGAAACCCCUCAAGAUAACACCCUCAGAUUGUUUUCUAUUCUCAAUUCCUAGGUCACAAGUUCCCUUAAUGUAUCUUAGAAGCCACUUCAUCGCUUCCCAAUGAACCUCACCAGGAUUAGACAUGUAUCUACUCAAUACACUUAUUGCAAAUG
rnacentral:lncRNA from 1 species